CCUACGGGGGGCAGCAGUGGGGAAUAUUGCACAAUGGGGGAAACCCUGAUGCAGCGACGCCGCGUGAGGGAAGAAGUAAUUCGGUAUGUAAAGCUCUAUCAGCAGGGAAGAAAAUGACGGUACCUGAGUAAGAAGCCCCGGCUAACUACGUGCCAGCAGCCGCGGUAAUACGUAGGGGGCAAGCGUUAUCCGGAUUUACUGGGUGUAAAGGGAGCGUAGGCGGCAGUGCAAGUCUGGAGUGAAAGGCGGGGGCUCAACCCCCGGACUGCUCUGGAAACUGUACGGCUGGAGUGCAGGAGAGGUAGGCGGAAUUCCUAGUGUAGCGGUGAAAUGCGUAGAUAUUAGGAGGAACACCAGUGGCGAAGGCGGCUUACUGGACUGUAACUGACGUUGAGGCUCGAAAGCGUGGGGAGCAAACAGGAUUAGAUACCCCUGUAGUC
rnacentral:rRNA from 1 species